AGCGGUGAAAUUAGGCAUUUGCAAUGUAACCUGAAAAACAGGCAUGGAGUACACUAGUUCAGUUGCGGUGGGGUAUCGAAUACUAAUAACUUUGGAAAUCUGUUAGGAAUUAUGCGACUGAAAGGAUGGAGAUAUGGUGUGUUUGUCGGAAGCUUCGUUGGACUUAUAAGUAUAUGCUGUUAUGCUUCCAUGAUAAGACCCAUGUUAAAUCCCGAACCGUAUAAGAGAAUUCGAGAACGAGCCUUUUCAGACAGACCUGUAUGAUUAAAGUCUGGAAAUUUUUAUAAAAAUACUUAGAAAAAUUCUGUAUAAAGGAUAAGUGAUAGAUAUAAAAUUAAAAUGGAUUAUUUGUUGUACAAAAUAAAUGUUAAUAUUUAUUAAAA
rnacentral:lncRNA from 13 species